rnacentral:tRNA from 1 species
UCCAUCUUGGCUCAGAUGGUAAAGAAUCUGCCUGCAAUGCAGAAGACCUGGGUUUGAUCCCUGGGUUGGGA